rnacentral:rRNA from 1 species
UAAGCGGAGGAAAAGAANCUANCAAGGAUUCCCCUAGUAACUGCGAGUGAAGCGGGAAAAGCUCAAAUUUAAAAUCUGGUGGUCUUUGGCCAUCCGAGUUGUAAUUUAGAGAAGCGUCUUCCGCGCUGGACCGUGCACAAGUCUCCUGGAAUGGAGCGUCAUAGAGGGUGAGAAUCCCGUCUUUGGCAUGGACACACCAGGGCUUUCGUGAUGCGCUCUCGAAGAGUCGAGUUGUUUGGGAAUGCAGCUCAAAAUGGGUGGUGAACUCCAUCUAAAGCUAAAUAUUGGCGAGAGACCGAUAGCGAACAAGUACCGUGAGGGAAAGAUGAAAAGCACUUUGGAAAGAGAGUGAAACAGUACGUGAAAUUGUUGAAAGGGAAACGCUUGAAGUCAGUCACGUCGACCGAGACUCAGCCUUGCCUCGGCUUGGUGUACUUCUCGGCUGACGGGUCAGCAUCAAUUUUGCCCCUUGGAUAAUGGCGAGGGAAAUGUGACACCUUUAUGGUGUGUUAUAGUCUCUCGUCGCAUGCAAGGGUUGGGAUUGAGGAACUCAGCACGCGCCCUUUGGGUGUCGGGGCUUUGCCCACGAUACGUGCUUAGGAUGUUGGCAUAAUGGCUUUAAACGACC